UUGCCUACGGGGCGCAGCAGUGGGGAAUAUUGCACAAUGGGGGAAACCCUGAUGCAGCAACGCCGCGUGAAGGAAGACGGUUUUCGGAUUGUAAACUUCUGUUCUUAGUGAAGAAGAAUGACGGUAGCUAAGGAGCAAGCCACGGCUAACUACGUGCCAGCAGCCGCGGUAAUACGGAAGGUCCGGGCGUUAUCCGGAUUUAUUGGGUUUAAAGGGAGCGUAGGCCGGCUUUUAAGUCAGCUGUGAAAGUCCGCGGCUCAACCGUGGAAUUGCAGUUGAAACUGGAGGCCUUGAGUGCACACAGG
rnacentral:rRNA from 1 species